UUGACAAUGCGCUCGCGAUCAAACCGGCCAUCACGGACGAGUUGAACUUGCACUGUCGUCGUAAUAGCAUCACCACCAUUAGUCCGAAGAACAUUGUAUUUUUAAUCUUAAGCCUAAACUAUUUUAAGUUCAAACCAACAAAUUGAAUAACAAUUGUACGCUAAGUUGAAUCCGCGAGUUUGAUUGUGCAUGUUCGAGAAAAUCCUGUAACGGAGCUGCGCUUCUUACGUUUUUUUGGAUAAGUGAUAUAACCGAUAUCACAUCGGUAACGCAACUCUGAACGGUUGGCUGGAGGUCAACGACCUGGCUACGGACUCAUCAAGGGGUGACCAGACGACCAAGGAAUCAGGUCAGUAACAAAAGCCCAAGGAAAAGACUCGAUAAAAAAAUCGAGUUGAAUAGAACAUAAAUGUCCAUCAUCACACCUCCUUGACCACGAUAAUCGUUUCCAGGCAACUAGAUUUCCCGCAGCUGAUAAACCACAAUCUGGAUUACGCAAUAAUCGGUGUGCCCCCGGUUGAGCGACGUUUUCACCGCAGAAAAGGUGGAAGAACGAGGGACUCCCACGAAACAUAAAAAUGGCAGGAUACUCCGGCCGCCGUCGUCGUCAGUCGGCAACUUUCUUCUAAAAUUGGUUCCGGGAUUGGUGGCAGUAAAGAGAAAAAAUAUCUUUCCGACAGUCAGUGUCGGAUUGAGCUUUUGAGGGACCCAGAGAGGCACAAACAAAUGUUGUUGGUUAACGAAAAUUGAUGAUUUUAAAUGACAAAUAUCUAGCUCAAAUAGCUGUUUCUAUUCAACCUGUAUACAUAUCUCAGGUGGCGAUGGAAAUACCGUGCUAAGUGUUAGUAAAUGUUUUUUUUUGUAAACAUUGUAACCAUGACAAUUCGUAACGUCAGUUGCAUUUUCAAACAAACAACCAACAGCGAAAACUAUGGAGAAAAAAAUCAUUGCCAAUUGCUGUUUAAUAUUCUCGCCUAGGAUACAUAAACAUCCUGGCAAGUGACGUAGGAUUUGAUUACCUUUUUACUGUUUGAAUAACGAGUUCUGUAAUAGUGUGCGUGUUUGUUCAUAA